rnacentral:rRNA from 1 species
UACAGAGGUCUCAAGCGUUGUUCGGAUUCAUUGGGGCGUAAAGGGUGUGUAGGUGGCGCCGGUAAGAUUCGGGGUGUGAAAUUUCGGAAGCUUAACUCCGAAACUGCAUUCGAUACUGCGGGUGCUUGAGGACUGGAGAGGAGACUGGAAAUUCAUGGUGUAGCAGUGAAAUGCGUAGAGAUCAUGAGGAAGACCAGUGGCGAAGGCGGGUCGUCUGGACAGUUCC